UACGUAGGUGGCAAGCGUUGUCCGGAAUUAUUGGGCGUAAAGCGCGCGCAGGCGGCCUUUUUAAGUCUGAUGUGAAAGCCCACGGCUCAACCGUGGAAGGUCAUUGGAAACUGAAAGGCUUGAGUACAGAAGAGGAAAGCGGAAUUCCACGUGUAGCGGUGAAAUGCGUAGAGAUGUGGAGGAACACCAGUGGCGAAGGCGGCUUUCUGGUCUGUAACUGACGCUGAGGUGCGAAAGCGUGGGGAGCAAACAGG
rnacentral:rRNA from 1 species